rnacentral:rRNA from 1 species
GUCUCCCGCUGUACUGCUCUGGAUGAACCCGAUCUCUUCUGAUCUCGGAAGCUAAGCAGGGUUGGAGCCUGGUUAGUUCUUGGAUGGGAGAAAAAGAAAAGGAAUGUAGCAGAGCUGAAGGUC